UACGUAGGGUGCGAGCGUUGUUCGGAAUUACUGGGCGUAAAGCGCUUGUAGGUGGCUCUGCAAGUCAGAUGUGAAAUCCCCGGGCUUAACCUGGGAACUGCAUUUGUGACUGGCGGGCUAGAGUAUGGCAGAGGGGGGUAGAAUUCCACGUGUAGCAGUGAAAUGCGUAGAGAUGUGGAGGAAUACCGAUGGCGAAGGCAGCCCCCUGGGCCAAUACUGACGCUCAUGCACGAAAGCGUGGGGAGCAAACAGG
rnacentral:rRNA from 1 species